GCAGACAUGGCCGAGUGGUUAAGGCGACAGACUUGAAAUCUGUUACCAUCUUGG
rnacentral:tRNA from 1 species